GCUGCUUAUUUUUCCCUGAAGGCGAAGGGUUGGAAAGUUACGCGCGCGGCAGCAGGGCCACGUGACUCCAGCCACCAUUUUAUGCCGAGGGGGAAGCUUUUGGGCGCCUAAAAUGGUAGCCCCCAACAGGCUCAGGUUACCUGUCUGAGAACCUAAAGUAUCCCACUGAGCUGUAUUUAACAGGUAAGGUAUGAAAUUAUUCAACAUAACUAUAUGAUGCUGACCUGGAAUUCAAGAAUCUGUCUCUGCUUGAUCUCUCAGGGCUUUGAGUGAAAGAUCGUAUCCAAGAAACAUGGCAGCACUCAUUGGGAAUCCUCGCACUGCAUUCACUGUCAGGCCCCUGAAAAAGACCUAAUCAGAAGAAGUAAGGAAACAUUACCCCAAAGGAGUCUAUGAAAUAAUUUGUGCAAUCACUUUGAUUGCAGAAUAAUGAAUGAUAUUCUGACAUUGGGAGAUCUCAGGUUUUAAAAAUCAGUAUUUUAUAAGGAACAUUAAUAAACUCAAUGAUUUUCUAGAAGUUA